rnacentral:rRNA from 1 species
GACGAACGCUGGCGGCGUGCUUAACACAUGCAAGUCGAACGGAAAGGCCCUGCUUUUGUGGGGUGCUCGAGUGGCGAACGGGUGAGUAACACGUGAGUAACCUGCCCUUGACUUUGGGAUAACUUCAGGAAACUGGGGCUAAUACCGGAUAGGAGCUCCUGCUGCAUGGUGGGGGUUGGAAAGUUUCGGCGGUUGGGGAUGGACUCGCGGCUUAUCAGCUUGUUGGUGGGGUAGUGGCUUACCACGGCUUUGACGGGUAGCCGGCCUGGGAGGGUGACCGGCCACAUGGGUACUGAGAUACGGCCCAGACUGCAACGGGAGGCAACAGGGGGGAAUAUUGCACAAUGGGCGGAAGCCUGAUGCAGCAACGCCGCGUGCGGGAUGACGGCCUUCGGGUUGUAAACCGCUUUCGCCUGUGACGAAGAGUGAGUGACGGUAAUGGGUAAAGAAGCACCGGCUAACUACGUG